rnacentral:rRNA from 1 species
GGGGAAUUGUUCGCAAUGGGCGCAAGCCUGACGACGCAACGCCGCGUGGAGGAUGAAGAUUUUCGGAUCGUAAACUCCUGUCGAAUGGGACGAAUAGAUUGCGGGUUAACAGCCCGUGGUCCUGACGGUACCGUUAAAGGAAACCCCGGCUAACUCCGUUCCAGCAGCCGCGGUAAUACAGAGGUCCCGAGCGUUGUUCGGAUUCACUGGGCGUAAAGGGUGCGUAGGUGGCAUGGUAAGUUUGAUGUGAAAGCUCAGGGCUUAACCCUGAAAUGGCAUUGAAUACUACUGUGCUGGAGGUUUGGAGGGGGGACUGGAAUUCUCGGUGUAGCAGUGAAAUGCGUAGAUAUCGAGAGGAACACCAGUGGCGAAGGCGAGUCCCUGGACAACACCUGACACUGAGGCACGAAAGCUAGGGGAGCAAA